GGUGUGUAGCUCAGUUGGUAGAGCAGCGAUCUCCAAAGUCGCCGGUCGGGGGUUCGAAUCCCUCCGC
rnacentral:tRNA from 1 species